UGGGGAAUAUUGGGCAAUGGACGCAAGUCUGACCCAGCAACGCCGCGUGAAGGAAGAAGGCUUUCGGGUUGUAAACUUCUUUUGUCAGGGAAGAGCAGAAGACGGUACCUGACGAAUAAGCCACGGCUAACUACGUGCCAGCAGCCGCGGUAAUACGUAGGUGGCAAGCGUUGUCCGGAUUUACUGGGUGUAAAGGGCGUGCAGCCGGGUCUGCAAGUCAGAUGUGAAAUCCGUGGGCUUAACCCACGAACUGCAUUUGAAACUGUAGAUCUUGAGUAUCGGAGAGGUAAUCGGAAUUCCUUGUGUAGCGGUGAAAUGCGUAGAU
rnacentral:rRNA from 1 species